UACGUAGGGUGCGAGCGUUAAUCGGAAUUACUGGGCGUAAGGCGUGCGCAGGCGGUUCGUUGUGUCGGCGGUGAAAGCCCCGGGCUUAACCUGGGAAUGGCCGUCGAAACUGGCGAACUGGAGUGUGGCAGGAGGGGGGUGGAAUUCCGCGUGUAGCAGUGAAAUGCGUAGAGAUGCGGAGGAACACCGAUGGCGAAGGCAGCCCCCCUGGGCUGACACUGACGCUCAGGCACGAAAGCGUGGGGAGCAAACAGG
rnacentral:rRNA from 1 species